rnacentral:rRNA from 1 species
CGACCUGAGAGGGUGAUCGGCCACACUGGAGACUGAGAGCACGGUCCAGACUCCUACGGGAGCGCAGCAGUAGGGAAUCUUCCGCAAUGGGCGAAAGCCUGACGGAGCAACGCCGCGUGAGUGAUGAAGGGUUUCGGCUCGUAAAACUCUGUUAUUAGGGAAGAUACAAACUGUGUAAGUA